rnacentral:rRNA from 1 species
CCUACGUGAGGCAGCAGUGAGGAAUAUUGGUCAAUGGGCUUACGCCUGAACCAGCCAAGUCGCGUGAGGGAAGACUGCCCUAUGGGUUGUAAACCUCUUUUGUCAGGGAGCAACGCCGGCUACGUGUAGCCGGACUGAGAGUACCUGAAGAAAAAGCAUCGGCUAACUCCGUGCCAGCAGCCGCGGUAAUACGGAGGAUGCGAGCGUUAUCCGGAUUUAUUGGGUUUAAAGGGUGCGUAGGCGGAAUGCCAAGUCAGCGGUAAAAUCGCGGGGCUCAACCUCGCUCCGCCGUUGAAACUGGCGUUCUUGAGUGGUCGAGAAGUAUGCGGAAUGCGUGGUGUAGCGGUGAAAUGCAUAGAUAUCACGCAGAACUCCGAUUGCGAAGGCAGCAUACCGGCGCCCAACUGACGCUGAAGCACGAAAGCGUGGGUAUCGAACAGGAUUAGAUACCCGAGUAGUC